rnacentral:rRNA from 1 species
AGACGUCUACAUUAGAUACCCGGGUAGUCCCAGCCGUAAACUAUGCGCGUUAGGUGUAUCGGUGACCACGAGUCACCGAGGUGCCGAAGGGAAACCGUGAAACGUGCCGCCUGGGAAGUACGGUCGCAAGGCUGAAACUUAAAGGAAUUGGCGGGGAGCACCACAACAGGUGGAGCCUGCGGUUUAAUUGGACUCAACGCCGUGAAGCUCACCGGAUAGGACAGCAGAAUGAUUGCCGGGCUGAAGACCCUGCAUGACUAGCUG